AAGUCGUAACAAGGUUUCCGUAGGUGAACCUGCGGAAGGAUCAUUACCGAGUUAGGGUCUUCCAGGCCCGACCUCCAACCCUGUGUCUCAAACUACCAUGUUGCUUUGGCGGGCCCGCCUCUAGGGCCGUUGGAGGCCUUACCGCCUCUGGCCAGCGCCCGUCAGUAGCCUUCUUAAAAAUUCUUUAAAUAACUGUGUUGUCUGAGUAUAAAUUUAAAUCGUUAAAACUUUCAACAACGGAUCUCUUGGUUCUG
rnacentral:misc_RNA from 1 species